GACGAACGCUGGCGGCGUGCUUAACACAUGCAAGUCGAACGGAAAGGCCCUGCUUUUGUGGGGUGCUCGAGUGGCGAACGGGUGAGUAACACGUGAGUAACCUGCCCUUGACUUUGGGAUAACUUCAGGAAACUGGGGCUAAUACCGGAUAGGAGCUCCUGCUGCAUGGUGGGGGUUGGAAAGUUUCGGCGGUUGGGGAUGGACUCGCGGCUUAUCAGCUUGUUGGUGGGGUAGUGGCUUACCAAGGCUUUGACGGGUAGCCGGCCUGAGAGGGUGACCGGCCACAUUGGGACUGAGAUACGGCCCAGACUCCUACGGGAGGCAGCAGUGGGGAAUAUUGCACAAUGGGCGGAAGCCUGAUGCAGCAACGCCGCGUGCGGGAUGACGGCCUUCGGGCUGUAAACCGCUUUCGCCUGUGACGAAGCGUGAGUGACGGUAAUGGGUAAGAAGCACCGGCUAACUACGUG
rnacentral:rRNA from 1 species